GUGUCGCUCAGACCACGUGCUGCCAGGCGUGGAGUGUUUCUGGGUUUGGUAGAGUGUCGCUCAGACCACGUGCUGCCAGGCGUGGAGUGUUUCUGGGUUUGGUAGAGUGCUGCUCAGACCACACGCUGCCAGGCGUGGAGUGUUUCUGGGUUUGGUAGAGUGCUGCUCAGACCACAUGCUGCCAGGCGUGGAGUGUUUCUGGGUUUGGUAGAGUGCCGCUCAGACCACAUGCUGCCAGGCGUGGAGUGUUUCUGGGUUUGGUAGAGUGCUGCUCAGACCACACGCUGCCAGGCGUGGAGUGUUUCUGGGUUUGGUAGAGUGCUGCUCAGACCACACGCUGCCAGGUGUGGAGUGUUUCUGGGUUUGGUAGAGUGCUGCUCAGACCACAUGCUGCCAGGCGUGGAGUGUUUCUGGGUUUGGUAGAGUGCUGCUCAGACCACAUGCUGCCAGGUGUGGAGUGUUUCUGGGUUUGGUAGAGUGCUGCUCAGACCACGUGCUGCCAGGCGUGGAGUGUUUCUGGGUUUGGUAGCCUGCCGCUAAA